rnacentral:tRNA from 1 species
GGAUAAAGGGCUUCCGGGCAGCAGCUGACUCUUAAUCAGCGGGUCGCAGGUUCGACCCCUGCAUCAUCCA